rnacentral:rRNA from 1 species
UACGUAGGGGGCAAGCGUUGUCCGGAAUCAUUGGGCGUAAAGAGCGUGUAGGCGGCCUGAUAAGUCGGCUGUGAAAGUCAAGGGCUCAACCCUUGAAUGCCGGCCGAUACUGUCAGGCUAGAAUCCGGAAGAGGCGAAUGGAAUUCCUGGUGUAGCGGUGAAAUGCGCAGAUAUCAGGAGGAACACCUAUGGCGAAGGCAGCUCGCUGGGACGGUAUUGACGCUGAGACGCGAAAGCGUGGGGAGCGAACAGG